rnacentral:rRNA from 1 species
CCUACGGUGUGCAGUGGGGAAUAUUGGACAAUGGGCGAAAGCCUGAUCCAGCCAUGCCGCGUGUGUGAAGAAGGCCUUCGGGUUGUAAAGCACUUUCAGUGGGGAAGAAAGCCUUGGGGCUAAUACCCUCGAGGAAGGACAUCACCCACAGAAGAAGCACCGGCUAACUCCGUGCCAGCAGCCGCGGUAAUACGGAGGGUGCGAGCGUUAAUCGGAAUUACUGGGCGUAAAGCGCGCGUAGGCGGUCUGAUAAGCCGGUUGUGAAAGCCCCGGGCUCAACCUGGGAACGGCAUCCGGAACUGUCAGGCUAGAGUGCAGGAGAGGAAGGUAGAAUUCCCGGUGUAGCGGUGAAAUGCGUAGAGAUCGGGAGGAAUACCAGUGGCGAAGGCGGCCUUCUGGACUGACACUGACGCUGAGGUGCGAAAGCGUGGGUAGCAAACAGGAUUAGAUACCCCAGUAGUC